GACGAACGCUGGCGGCGUGCCUAAUACAUGCAAGUCGAGCGCUGAGGCCUGGUACUUGUACCGACUGCGUGAGCCGCACACGUGUGAGUCACGCGUGGAGCCUCUCCCUUUCAGUGGGGGACAACAAUGGAAAACGAAUUCAAAUACCGCAUAAAAACCUUCAACACAAGUUGUAUGUGUAAAAUAUGCAAUUUCAUCAUUCAAUCGUGAUUUAGCGUUGUAUUAGUUUGUUGGUGGGGUAAAGGCUCACCAAGGCGAGGGCGCGUAGCCGAACUGAGAGGGUGGUCGGCCACAUUGAGACGGAGACACGGCACAAACGGCUACGGGAGGCAGCAGGAGGGAAACGUCGGCAAUGGACGAAAGUCUGACCGAGCAACGCCGAGUGAGUGAAGAAGGUUGUCGGAUCGUGAAACUCUGUUGGUAGAGAAGAAAGUUGGUGAGAGUGGAAAGCUCAUCAAGUGACGGUAACUACACAGAAAGGGACGGCUAACUACGUG
rnacentral:rRNA from 1 species